CUUCUGGGGUUUCCUGGCUAAUGAUCUCCAUCAGUCCGUCCGACAGAGUCCCACACACACAGCUGACGUUUCUCUGGGGUUUUUCUCCAGUUCAUUAGCGGUCCUCCUCUUGACUCGAGCUGAUCCCCAGAAUCUGAAUCUGAUGGUUCUCUGCUGGAGGCAGACCUGCAGCUGGGCGGAGAGCGAACACCUUCUGUCCAUUCAUUAACUCCAAAUGAGCCUUCAGCUCCAGCUCCAGGAAAUCCCGUUUGUUACCAGAAGCUGCUAGUUGUAGUUGCCAGGCAACAGCUUGUAACUAAGCGUAAAUGAUGGCGAGCCUCAGAUGGACGCCCACAGAGAGGUCCCGUGUUCGGAGUCCUGUUAGAGCCCACGAGGUUUCUGUGAGUCUGAAUGGAGUCUGCUGCCUGGGGAGGGACGUCUGCGAAAGCUCUCAGCGCCUCACAAAAGUGCCACCGUGAGUGCAUAUAUCGCUGAAGGGAUUCCUGCUCUGGAUUCAGAGGAUUCACAGAAGUAAGCAAGUUUACGUGAAAGACUCACCUACAAGAUUUAUAAGGCAGAAGUGGAAAUGGAAGUUCAGGAAACGCAGAGAGAAAAGGAAAUAGACCAGAAAAAGG